GCAAACUUGGUCAUUUAGAGGAAGUAAAAGUCGUAACAAGGUUUCCGUAGGUGAACCUGCGGAAGGAUCAUUAUUGAAUAAAUCUGACGCGGUUGUCGCUGGUUCCUCCGGGAGCAUGUGCACGCCCGUCACCUUUAUUUCUCCACCUGUGCACACACUGUAGGCCUGGAUACCUCUCGUCGCAAGGCGGAUGCGUGGCUUGCUGUCGCUUUCGAAAGAAGGCCGGCUUGCCACGAAUUUCCAGGUCUAUGAUUUCUUACACACCCCAAACUGAAUGUUAUGGAAUGUCAUCUCAAGGCCUUGUGCCUAUAAACCUAUACAACUUUCAGCAACGGAUCUCUUGGCUCUCGCAUCGAUGAAGAACGCAGC
rnacentral:misc_RNA from 1 species